UGCCGCCACACCACGCUGAAACAUCGGUUCCCGUACGAUCACCGAAGUUAAGCAACGUCGAGCAUCGGUACCUAGAUGGGUGACCGUUUUGGAAUAUCAGGUGCUGUAUG